rnacentral:rRNA from 1 species
UACGGGAGGCAGCAGUGGGGAAUAUUGCACAAUGGGCGCAAGCCUGAUGCAGCCAUGCCGCGUGUAUGAAGAAGGCCUUCGGGUUGUAAAGUACUUUCAGCGGGGAGGAAGGCGAUGUGGUUAAUAACCGCGUCGAUUGACGUUACCCGCAGAAGAAGCACCGGCUAACUCCGUGCCAGCAGCCGCGGUAAUACGGAGGGUGCAAGCGUUAAUCGGAAUUACUGGGCGUAAAGCGCACGCAGGCGGUCUGUCAAGUCGGAUGUGAAAUCCCCGGGCUUAACCUGGGAACUGCAUUCGAAACUGGCAGGCUAGAGUCUUGUAGAGGGGGUUAGAAUUCCAGGUGUAGCGGUGAAAUGCGUAGAGAUCUGGAGGAAUACCGGUGGCGAAGGCGGCCCCUGGGACAAAGCUGACGCUCAGGU